ensembl:snRNA U6 U6 spliceosomal RNA
GUGUUCGCUUCAGCAACACAUACACUAAAAUUGGAACGAUACAGAGAAGAUUAGUAGAUUAUUAGCAGAUGACGCAAAUUUGUGAAGUGUUCCAUGUUUGG